rnacentral:rRNA from 1 species
GGAUCUCUUAAAGCUGUUCUCAGUUCGGACUGCAGUCUGCAACUCGACUGCACGAAGCUGGAAUCGCUAGUAAUCGCGGAUCAGCACGCCGCGGUGAAUACGUUCCCGGGCCUUGUACACACCGCCCGUCACACCAUGGAAGUCUGCAAUGCCCGAAGCCGGUGGCCUAGCCACUUAUGUGGAAGGAGCCGUCUAAGGCAGGGCAGAUGACUGGGGUGAAGUCGUAACAAGGUACC